rnacentral:rRNA from 1 species
UACGGAGGGUGCAAGCGUUAUCCGGAUUCACUGGGUUUAAAGGGGGCGUAGGUGGGCUGGUAAGUCAGUGGUGAAAUCUCCGAGCUUAACUUGGAAACUGCCAUUGAUACUAUUAGUCUUGAAUAUUGUGGAGGUCAGCGGAAUAUGUCAUGUAGCGGUGAAAUGCUUAGAGAUGACAUAGAACACCAAUUGCGAAGGCAGCUGGCUACGCAUAUAUUGACACUGAGGCUCGAAAGCGUGGGGAUCAAACAGG